UGCCAUUCGAUCUUUGCUGCUUUUCAACGAAGUCCUUUGACGCCAACUUGGGUCACUGAGUACGUGCCAGUAGAAUGCCUGAAACCUUUCCUGGUGGAAACAUUGCCGAUAUUUGUGACUGUGACAGCGAGGCCGCUAAACAAGUAUGCCGGGGGGACUGCGCCUGCUGGUCAAGAGGGGAUGUGCCUCAACCUUAUACGUGUGUUAAGAACACAAGGAAAUGAUAAG